UGCGCUCAACAGCUGUGUUUUCCUCUGCAAACUUUAUUUUUUUAUUUUUUUUUUGAAAGGCCGGCCUAUGCGCUCGGUUGGUGCUUAUUUUCAGGUGGAAAAGAUAGAGCUGCUUUACAGAACUAUUCAGGCCCCGCCAGGUUCUCCCCUGCUUAUAAACUGUUCCCGGGUCCUUCACGCAGCCGCGCAGAACGAGCUGCUCUGCAAAUGCCAAGCGCCGAUGCCAAAGGGCCGUGUCAACAAAGAAGAAUGAGUGUGGCUGUUAGAGGCUGCUAUUAAAAAAGGGUGGAGGAGAGAGAGAAGGGAGGGGGGAAAGAAAAAAAAAAAAGAAAAGAAAAAAAGGAAGAAGCAGUUUGUCAGUGCAAAUAGUAACAUAAAUAUUCGGGAGCACCAUCCAGGGCCCUGCUGCAUCCUCGGGGGCUUGUGCCUCUGGGGGUCCAGCCGCAGGCGCCCACCCGGAGCCCUGGCACCGUCCCCAUGGGGCCACCAGCUGCGAGGCUGGGGCCAUGCGGGGCUGGCAGCUCGGCCCCGAGAGCUCCGGGGCUAUUUCUAGGCAAAGCCUGGACGGGACGGGGGGCAGGCGACCUCUCACAUGAUGCUGAAGAUGCAACGGGAAGACGCGGGCUCCGGUUUCAGCUUUCUAUUCCCGGC
rnacentral:lncRNA from 1 species